rnacentral:misc_RNA from 1 species
GAUGAAGAACGUAGCGAAAUGCGAUAAGUAAUGUGAAUUGCAGAAUUCAGUGAAUCAUCGAAUCUUUGAACGCACAUUGCGCCCUCUGGUAUUCCGGGGGGCAUGCCUGUUCGAGCGUCAUUGCAACCCCUCAAGCACAGCUUGUGUGUUGGGCUCUCGUCCCCUGUGGACGCGCCUGAAAUGCAGUGGCAGCACCGAGAUACCGGUGUCUGAGUGUAUGGGCAUUGAUCAUCACUCGAUAGACCCGAUCGGCGCUGACCGUCAAACCACGAUUCCUUGGAAUCAUCCAGUUUUGACCUCGGAUCAGGUAGGAAUACCCGCUGAACUUAAGCAUAUCAAUAAGCGGAGGA